rnacentral:ncRNA from 2 species
GUAGAAUUCUAGGGGGACUCUUUAUAGAGUUGAGAUAGAUUCAUCUGACCCUUUGAACCUGAUGGUUAAGACCAGCGUAGGGAAGCAAUUCUAACACGAU